GUCGGUUUGUCUGAGUGGUUAAGGAGACAGAUUAGAAAUCUGUUGGGCUCUGCCCGCACAGGUUCAAAUCCUGUAGCCGACG
rnacentral:tRNA from 1 species